GUUGAUCCUGCCAGUAGUCAUAUGCUUGUCUCAAAGACUAAGCCAUGCAUGUCUAAGUAUAAAUGUUAUACAGUGGAACUGCGAAUGGCUCAUUAAAACAGUUAUAGUUUAUUUGAUAAUCGAAUUUACAUGGAUAACCGUGGUAAUUCUAGAACUAAUACAUGCUGGUUAGCCUGACUUUUGAGGAAGGGCUGUAUUUAUUAGAUAACAAACCAAUAUUCCCCGUGUCUAUUGUGAUGACUCAUAAUAACUGAUCGAAUCGCAUGGACUUUGUCCGCGAUAAAUCAUUCAAGUUUCUGCCCCAUCAGCUUUCGAUGGUAGUGUAUUGGACUACCAUGGCUUUAACGGGUAACGGAGGAUUAGGGUUCGAUUCCGGAGAGGGAGCCUGAGAAACGGCUACCACAUCUAAGGAAGGCAGCAGGCGCGUAAAUUACCCAAUCCUGACUCAGGGAGGUAGUGACAAGAAAUAACGGACCGAAGCCUAUGUUUCGGGAUUGCAAUGAGUAGAAUUUAAACCCCUUUACGAGGAUCAAUUGGAGGGCAAGUCUG
rnacentral:rRNA from 1 species